CUUUUUCUUUUUCUUUCACUCUGGGGAAUUGUCAGUUAUUUUGCGCUGCUCUCUUAAUAAGUUCUGGCUGAUCCAUCUAGUCUCUGGUCGCUUAUAAACACAGACACA